UACAGCCCCACCUCACCUUCUUACAGCCCCACCUCGCCUUCAUAUAGCCCCACCUCACCAAGUUAUAGUCCAACUUCUCCAUCAUAUAGUCCCACUUCUCCUGCAUACAGUCCUACCUCCCCUGGUUACAGCCCAACAUCUCCCAGUUACAGCCCAACAUCACCAUCAUAUAGUCCUACAUCACCAAGUUACAAUCCCUCGGCUAGAUACAGCCCCUCCCUUGCAUAUUCGCCAACCAGUCCAAAGCUGUCUCCUUCUAGUCCAUACAGCCCGUCAUCUCCAAGUUACAGUCCAACGUCACCUUCGUACUCUCCAACAUCUCCAUCAUAUUCUCCUUCAAGCCCAACCUAUAGUCCCAGCAGCCCAUACAACUCAGGUACAAGUCCAGAUUAUAGUCCUAGUUCUCCCCAAUACAGUCCAAGUGCAGGCUACUCACCAAGUGCUCCUGGGUAUUCACCAUCAUCUACUAGCCAGUACACCCCGCGCACUAGCGAUAAAGACAACAAGAGUGUCAAAGACGACAAGACUGGUCAUUAGGAGAGAAGAAAGUUGUUACUUUUCACUUUAAUCUUUCUGUGCCAUAACUGGCUCUUUGGUCAUUAAUGUGCUUUGUGGAGCAUAAGAUAGCGAUGCUGGUCAGUACAAAAUAUUUUCUGAAGGAUACUGGCUUUCGGCGUCUUCCUAUUGAAGAUCUAAUCGUGUGAAUGAGUUGUUCUUCUCUUUGUAUGACAUCUAGGGGAUUGGGAAUGAAUCAAUCUGGUUCUUGCUUUUCGAAGCUCUGUGUAGUACCCUAAUUAGUAAAUUCAUGUUUAUCUCUUGGCUCCUGUUAGAAGAAUUGUCAGUAGUAAAGAUAUCAUCAAUGACAUCAUUAUCUGCUCUUUCUUCUUCCCUGAAAACGGUCUGGUUUUGAUGAUUACAACUCUUGUGGGAGAACUGACAAGUGUUGUCAGCUGUUGCACAGACUGUAACUUCACUUUAUGAUCUUUACUGUGGUGGAGUGUUGUGGGAAGGCAUUUUUCAUAGAAUAACAUGUACUGUACAUCUUAGAUCAGGUGAGAACUGAGAAGUCGUCCUAAUUUAGAUUUCAACUGAGAGUCUGCCUUUUCUAGAGUAAAGAAAAAUUACUAAAGAAACUUCUCUUGGCCUUCUA